UACGUAGGGUGCGAGCGUUAAUCGGAAUUACUGGGCGUAAAGCGUGCGCAGGCGGUAAUGUAAGACAGAUGUGAAAUCCCCCGGGCUCAACCUGGGACCUGCAUUGUGACUGCAUUGCUGGAGUGCGGCAGAGGGGGAUGGAAUUCCGCGUGUAGCAGUGAAAUGCGUAGAUAUGUGGAGGAACACCGAUGGCGAAGGCAGCCCCCUGGGUCAAGACUGACGCUCAUGCACGAAAGCGUGGGGAGCAAACAGG
rnacentral:rRNA from 1 species